AAGUCGUAACAAGGUUUCCGUAGGUGAACCUGCGGAAGGAUCAUUAACAAACUGACUGGGAUUGGCACUUAGUGUCAACCCCACAUUGACUCGGGGGUUUGGAAGUCCUUAGUGUCAACCAAGCCCCUAGAGACAUUUACGCUUGUUGUGUAUGACUGAGUUAUUAUGUGGCCUAAUAAAGACAACUUUUAACAAUGGAUCUCUUGGCUCUU
rnacentral:misc_RNA from 1 species